rnacentral:ncRNA from 1 species
AUAAAAUAAUUAUGUUUUUGGAAAUUUAUUAUAAAUUUAUUUUACAUAUAAAUUUUAGUAUAUAAUUUUAAUUAUUUAAAUAAUAAUUAAUUUAUUUUUGUAGUAAUUAAUAUUAAAAAUUUAAGAAAUUAAGAUUUAGUAAUAUAAAAAUUAAUAACUAAUUUUGUGCCAGCAGUUGCGGUUAAACAAAAGUUAAAUUAAAUUAUUUCAGUAUAUAAUAAAUAAUUAAUUUAUUAAAAUAAAUAUUAAAUUAUUAAGUGAAAUUUUAAUUUAAUUAAAUUUUAUUUUAAAAUUAUGAUUUAAUAAAUUUUAAUAUAAACUAGGAUUAGAUACCCUAUUAUUAAAAAUUUAAUUUAUAAUACUAAAAUAGUAAAUAAUAAUUUAUUGAAACUUAAAUAACAUGGCGGUAUUUUAGUUCAUUUAGAGGAAUCUGUCUAAUAAUUGAUAAUCCACGAAUAAAUUUACUUAAUUUAUAAUUUUGUAUAUCAUUGUUAAAAAAAUAUUUUUUAGGAAAAAUAAUAUUUAAAAAUUAUAAUAAAAAAUUAAAUCAGAUCAAGAUGCAGAAUAUAAUUAAGAAUAUGAUGGAUUACAUUAAAUAUAUUUAUAUGAAUAAUUUUAUUGUAAUAAAAAUUUGAAGGUGGAUUUAAAUGUAAUUUUAAUUAGUUUAUUAAAAUGAUUAAAAAUUAAAAUAUGUACAUAUUGCCCGUCACUUUCAUUUAAAAAUUGAAAUAAGUCGUAACAAAGUAGAGGUACUGGAAAGUGUUUCUAGAAAGA